UAACACAGCCAUAUUACCCUGAAGCCCAGGAAAAAAAACGGUUACCAGGGCUGAGCCUGGUCAGUACCUGGAUGGGAGACCACAUGGGAACACUAGGUUGCUGUUGGAA
rfam:Danio rerio chromosome 7, GRCz11 reference primary assembly.